rnacentral:rRNA from 1 species
UACGUAGGGGGCGAGCGUUGUCCGGAAUCAUUGGGCGUAAAGCGCGCGUAGGCGGCCCGGUAAGUCCGCUGUGAAAGUCAAAGGCUCAACCUUUGAAUGUCAGCGGAUACUGCCGGGCUAGAGUCCGGAAGAGGCGAGUGGAACUCCUGGUGUAGCGGUGGAAUGCGCAGAUAUCAGGAAGAACACCAACGGCGAAGGCAGCUCGCUGGGACGGAACUGACGCUAAGGCGCGAAAGCGUGGGGAGCGAACGAGG